AAGCGCUUCCGCAAAGACAGGUAUAGGCUGGUACCCCUCCACUCUACACUGUCCUCUAAGGAUCAAGCAGCAGCGUUUACAGUGCCACCUACCGGAGUGCGGAAGAUUGUCCUGUCUACAAACAUUGCUGAGACAGGAGUCACAAUUCCAGAUGUGGUGUUCGUCAUUGACACUCUGGCAAAAACCAAGGAGAA